UGGAGUUAGUUUUGAGUUUGUGUGGGGUUUGGGGUUGAGUAUAGGUUGAGGAUUGGAGUUUGGGUUGGAUUUGUGGUAUUACAAUUUUAGGGGAGAUUAUGCCUUUUUUUGUUUUUUGUUUUUUUGGUUAUUUGACCAUAUUUAUCUUUUUUGUAGGGUACCGUCGAGACUUUGACGGCUAAAGUUGACGAUUAGGACACUAUCGAAAUAUAUCCUCCGCCACUACCACCACAAUAGGCUUAUAUUAGGAUUUUAUUAUUGUACUUUGUUAAUUUAUGUGUACAUUUUGAAUAUUAUAUAUUUAUUUAUUUAUUGAAUAAUUUGAUCACUAUUGUUCAUAUGUAAUUUUAUUUUGAAUAUGUCAAUUUAAAUUAAAGUAAUUUAAAAAAUUAUACAAUUAAAUUAAAUUUUAAAAGUCAAAAUUUUAAAAAAUUAAUAUUAAAACAAAAAGUCAAAAACCUUGCACAACAAAAUAUUUCGUCGAGCAAACUAUUAAAUUAGUUUAUUUU
rnacentral:lncRNA from 1 species